UCAAGUGCAACGGUGAGACGGUAGGUGUACAGUUAAUGCACAUAGGUUGCAGAAAAAGGUUGUUGAGACAGCCCGAUUGCACACUGAUAAAUAACAAUAACUAAGGCCAAUUUUCUUAAAAAAUGCAACAAUAAUUGUUAAUAAGUUUACAUAAUUAUUAUGUAAACUUUUAAAGAUUUGCUACUGGUCUGACAGUUUAUUCGCCAAACAUCCACCCCAAAAACUUAUCCUACAGGUACAAUGGGGAAAGAUGCAAAACGAACAAGGUGAAUCGACCAGAUUGAAUGGGACCUGAGCAGUCUUCAUGUCCUGCGAGGCGACUAGCGACAAAGAGCUACUGGCCGAGUGAACUGGAGACGACUUCUUGAUUCAGCAAAGAACAUUACCAACUUAGACUUACUGAUAAGUAAGGUUUUGCAAAAACAUCCUGUAGAAGCCGGGUGAACGACAAAUCGAAUUUAUAUACCACCUAUCUUGUUCGUAAUUAUAAAUAAGCGCAG